rnacentral:rRNA from 1 species
UACGGGGGGUGCGAGCGUUGUCCGGAAUCACUGGGCGUAAAGGGCGCGUAGGUGGCCUGAUAAGGGUGUGGUGAAAGUCCGGGGCUCAACCCCGGGUCGGCCGUGCGAACUGGGGGGCUGGAGCACUGUAGAGGCAGGCGGAAUUCCGGGUGUAGCGGUGGAAUGCGUAGAGAUCCGGAAGAACACCGGUGGCGAAGGCGGCCUGCUGGGCAGUUGCUGACACUGAGGCGCGACAGCGUGGGGAGCAAACAGG